rnacentral:rRNA from 1 species
CACGUAGGGUGCAAGCGUUGUCCGGAUUUAUUGGGCGUAAAGGGCUCGUAGGCGGUUCGACAAGUCGGGUGUGAAACCUCCAGGCUCAACCUGGAGUCGCCACUCGAAACUGUUGUGACUAGAGUCCGGUAGGGGAGCAUGGAAUUCCUGGUGUAGCGGUGGAAUGCGCAGAUAUUGGGAAGAACACCAGUGGCGAAGGCGGUUCUCUGGGACGGUACUGACGCUGAGACGCGAAAGCGUGGGGAGCGAACAGG